AGUCGAGGGCGGAGCAGGUCCUUUUCGCUAAAUUCAUUCAGUCGUAUUUAUUGAGCGCCCACUGUGUAAUAAAAAGAGCUCAAGAUGUUUGCUCUGCUGCCGGCCCCUCCCUCGGGAAUAAAAUUCUUGGAGGCUUCACGCUCUUAAGGCAGGGCAGCACGUGCAUCCCAGUGCGUGCACCUCGCCAGCGAGCUCUACUGUACAUGCUCCGUCGGUGGAUACUGCUCCCAGAGACACUUUCAAAGGGUGAAGACUCUCCCAGCUAUAAGCCAUUUAGCAGUCAGGUGAGCUGUCACCUGCAACAGCCAGGACUCAUCUGUCUCCAGGGAAGAGUCAGAGUUCAAGUGUCAGCUCCAAGAACAUCCCAGCGUUCCUCGCUCCUGUCAGGAUGCUUCCAGCUGGUUCACCUGAGAAU